rnacentral:rRNA from 1 species
CACGUAGGGUGCGAGCGUUGUCCGGAAUUAUUGGGCGUAAAGAGCUCGUAGGCGGUGUGUCGCGUCGACUGUGAAAUCCCGUGGCUCAACUGCGGGCUUGCAGCCGAUACGGGCAGACUGGAGUACUGCAGGGGAGACUGGAAUUCCUGGUGUAGCGGUGGAAUGCGCAGAUAUCAGGAGGAACACCGGUGGCGAAGGCGGGUCUCUGGGCAGUAACUGACGCUGAGGAGCGAAAGCGUGGGGAGCGAACAGG